GGCCUAGGAGAACAGGGCUAUCUUUGGACCUUUUCCAUGUCUCAUGAUAAUCUCUGCAUAAGUACAAUGUUCCGUACUCCAGGAUUAACCAAGACUGGAUCUCUUGUGGUGGAAUUGAUUGAAUGGCUGCUAGUAUUCUUGCAGAGCUCUGAGCAGCAGAGCACUGAGCAGCAGAGCACCGAGCAGCAUUCUGAGCAGCAUUCCGAGCAGCAUUCUGAGCAGCAUUCCAAGCAGCAUUCUGAGCAGCAUUUCGAACAGCAUUCUGAGCAGCAUUCCGAGCAGCAUUUCAAGCAGCAUUCUGAGCAGCAUUCCGAGCAGCAUUCUGAGCAGCAUUCCGAGCAGCAUUCCAAGCAGCAUUUCAAGCAGCAUUCUGAGCAGCAUUCCAAACAGCAUUCUGAGCAGCAUUCUGAGCAGCAGAGCACUGAGCA
rnacentral:sRNA from 2 species